AGCUUUGUGCAGUGGCAGUAUCGUAGCCAAUAAGGUUUAUCUGAGGCGCGAUUAUUGCUAAUUGAAAACUUUUCCCAAUACCCAGUCAUGACGACUUGCAAUAUAGUCGGCACUGGCAAUUUUUGACAGUCUCUACGGAGA
rnacentral:snRNA from 1 species